rnacentral:rRNA from 1 species
UACGGAAUGUGGCAAACGUUAUUCGGAAUCACUGGGCUUAAAGAGUCCGUAGGCGGCUUGUUAGGUGAGGUGUGAAAUCCCCCGGCUCAACCGAGGAAUUGCGCUUCAAACCGGCAAGCUUGAGGAGGAUAGAGGUGGGCGGAACGUGAUGGUGGAGCGGUGAAAUGCGUUGAUAUCAUCAGGAACACCGGAGGCGAAAAGCGGUC